UCAUCAUAUAGGAUGCAUCAACGGGUCAGAGGGAAUAUUCCGGUUUAGCGUAACUAUUAGGCGUUGAUCACUUUCUUAAGACCUUAUCCGGUUAAAUUCAGAAAAUUAUCCAUUUGGUUAAGUUUUUCAUCUCAUUUACUUGGUUCAGUUAGAUAUAGCGGUUUGAUUGAACCAGAAUAAACCAAAUCUAAUUGUCAUGGACUCAAGUGGAUUCGCCGCUCCGGAGUGCUCCUCCUUCACUCCCACCAUCUUCGUCUUCGUCACCGAGUCCUUGCCUGUUAACUCUAGGCAGAGCAUUUUAAUCCGUCUGAUUUUGGAUCCGUGAGACAGGUGUCAAGCUCUCGAUCGCCUCGGAUGUCGCAGGCAGCAAUUGCUUCCGAGAACAACUAUCCAUGCAUCGAGCAUUGAUGAAUGUAUUUGAUAAGGCUCCGAUUCUGGAUAAGGAAGCUUUUGUAACCGUCAUAUUGGAAGAGGAUCAUCUACAUCUUCUCCUGAUGAAACGUUUGAGUAUAUGAUAUUGAUUUUUUUUUGGAUCACUAGUGUGUGGGAUGUGAAUACAGUCAGUGUUGGAUCAGGAACUAAUAUUCAGGACAACUCACUUGUGCAUGUGGCAAAAUCAUACUUAAUCGGUAAUGUGCCUCCAACCAUCAUCGGGGACAAUGUAAUCAUUGGUCAUAGUGCUUUGUUACAUGGAUGUACUGUUGAGGAUGAGGCCUUUAUCAAGGAUGGGUGCGACACUUCUUGACGGUGUGGUCGUUGAAAAGCAUGACAUGGUUGCUGCUGGUGCGCUUGUUCGACAAAACACUAGAAUUCCUUCCUUCUGGAGAGGUAUACUUAGGGAUGUCAAUUGGGCACAUUGUCCAUGGGCGGCCCAUGUCCAAAUCGAUAUGGACUAAUAUGGUCACGCCCAAAUAUGCCCGAAAUAUUUCUGUCCAAAUAGAUUAUGCCCAGAUGCGCCCAGAGUCCAAUAGACAAAACCAAAUGGACAUGGGCCGCCCAAAUACGCUCAUAUUUAAAAAAAAAAAAUAUUUGAAAUCACAAAUAUUUGGGGAAAAAAAAUCAGAAAUCACAAUUCACAAAUCUCUCGAGUCUCGACUCUCCUCUCCGUCUCUUCUCUCCAUCUCUCGAGCAGUGUCUCUCCGUCUCGUCUCUCCAUCUCUCGAUUAGUGUCUCUCCGCCUCGUCUCUUCAUCUCUCGAGCUGUGUCUCUCCAUCUUGACUCUCCUCUCCGUCUCUCACUUUGUCUUCGAUUCGCUUCAGAUGGAUGGUGAUACGUUGAACCUUAAUGAUGAUGAUUAUUUGAGCGAUGAUGGUCCUGAUCAGAAUGAAGAUGAUGAUCCUGUUCAGAAUGAAGAUGAUGGUCCUGAUCAGAAUGAAGAUGAUGUACAAGAUGAUUCUACAAGUGUGGCUAAGAGUAAGAGAGGUAAAAAACGAAGACAUUGAAAGUGUUGGCAACAUUUUGAAAUAGGAGAUAGAGUGUCUGAGGGUACUAACGUUGUCUGCAAGCAUUGCCACCAUUCCUAUUGCUUUGACCUGAGUAAUGGAACUACUACUCUGUGGCGUCAUAUUAGACAAUGUUCUAUGACUCCUGCUUCUGGAAGUACACCUGGCGGAAGCAAUAGGAAGUUUGAUAUAAUGAUCUUACGUGAAAUGAUUGUUGGUGCCAUAGUUGAGCACGAUCUUGCAUACUCGUUUGUCGAGUUUAGGAGGAUUAGAGAAGCGUUUAAGUAUGCGAAUCCUCGUAUUGAGUUUUAGUGUAGAAAUACUGCUGUAUCAGAUGUCCUGAAGAUAUACGAGAAUGAGAAAGCUCAUCUUAGAAAGGUUUUGAGCGAAAUUCCCGGAAGAGUUUGCUUAACUACUGAUUUAAGUUUAAGUUUAAGACUUUUAUCUUUUGUGAAACAUGAAAUUUAAGUUUAAGUAUGUUUUGUAAAACAUGAAAUUUAAGUAAGUUUAAGUAUGUUUUGUAAAACAUGAAA